CCUACGGGAGGCAGCAGUGAGGAAUAUUGGUCAAUGGACGAGAGUCUGAACCAGCCAAGUAGCGUGAAGGAUGACUGCCCUAUGGGUUGUAAACUUCUUUUAUAUGGGAAUAAAAUGUUCCACGUGUGGGAUUUUGUAUGUACCAUAUGAAUAAGGAUCGGCUAACUCCGUGCCAGCAGCCGCGGUAAUACGGAGGAUACGAGCGUUAUCCGGAUUUAGUGGGUUUAAAGGGAGAGUAGGUGGAUUGUUAAGUCAGUUGUGAAAGUUUGCGGCGCAACCGUAAAAUUGCAGUUGAAACUGGCAGUCUUGAGUACAGUAGAGGUGGGCGGAAUUCGUGGUGUAGCGGUGAAAUGCUUAGAUAUCACGAAGAACUCCGAUUGCGAAGGCAGCUCACUGGACUGCAACUGACACUGAGGCUCGAAAGUGUGGGUAUCAAACAGGAUUAGAUACCCCAGUAGUC
rnacentral:rRNA from 1 species